UUUCUCAUAUGUUAUCACUGACUUAUCAAUUUUUGAAGUUGAUACAUGUUUGGUUGACUUCUUUGAGCAUGCUUAAACUUGCCUUGCCUUUCUGAUUUUCAUUGACUAUCUUCCCAUGAUCCAAAUGAGAUGAAAUUUGAUAUGCAUGUCAUGUUAUGGAUUAUGAUUGACCAUGAAUUAUUUGAUAAUUUUUGGAAUUGAUUAUGAUUGGUUUUGAGUUAAGUCUUGCUGUUGAC
rnacentral:lncRNA from 1 species